rnacentral:rRNA from 1 species
UAAUACAGAGGGUGCGAGCGUUGUCCGGAAUCACUGGGCGUAAAGGGCGCGUAGGCGGCUUGAUAAGCGUGCGGUGAAAGCCCGGGGCUCAACCCCGGGUCGGCCGUGCGAACUGUCGAGCUGGAGCACUGUAGAGGCAGGUGGAAUUCCGGGUGUAGCGGUGGAAUGCGUAGAGAUCCGGAAGAACACCGGUGGCGAAGGCGGCCUGCUGGGCAGUGGCUGACGCUGAGGCGCGACAGCGUGGGGAGCAAACAGGA